UGGGGAAUAUUGGACAAUGGGCGCAAGCCUGAUCCAGCCAUGCCGCGUGAGUGAUGAAGGCCCUAGGGUUGUAAAGCUCUUUCACCGGUGAAGAUAAUGACGGUAACCGGAGAAGAAGCCCCGGCUAACUUCGUGCCAGCAGCCGCGGUAAUACGAAGGGGGCUAGCGUUGUUCGGAUUUACUGGGCGUAAAGCGCACGUAGGCGGACUAUUAAGUCAGGGGUGAAAUCCCGGGGCUCAACCCCGGAACUGCCUUUGAUACUGGUAGUCUUGAGUUUGAGAGGGGUGGGGGGAAUUCCGGGUGUAGGGGUGAAAUUCGUAGAUAAUCGGAGGAACAACAGGGGGGGAGGCGGCUCACUGGCUCGAUACUGACGCUGGGGUGCGAAAGGGUGGGGAGCAAACAGG
rnacentral:rRNA from 1 species